rnacentral:rRNA from 1 species
UUGCCGUGGCGGGGUGCUAUACAUGCAGUCGAGCGAAUGGAUUAAGAGCUUGCUCUUAUGAAGUUAGCGGCGGACGGGUGAGUAACACGUGGGUAACCUGCCCAUAAGACUGGGAUAACUCCGGGAAACCGGGGCUAAUACCGGAUAACAUUUUGAACCGCAUGGUUCGAAAUUGAAAGGCGGCUUCGGCUGUCACUUAUGGAUGGACCCGCGUCGCAUUAGCUAGUUGGUGAGGUAACGGCUCACCAAGGCAACGAUGCGUAGCCGACCUGAGAGGGUGAUCGGCCACACUGGGACUGAGACACGGCCCAGACUCCUACGGGAGGCAGCAGUAGGGAAUCUUCCGCAAUGGACGAAAGUCUGACGGAGCAACGCCGCGUGAGUGAUGAAGGCUUUCGGGUCGUAAAACUCUGUUGUUAGGGAAGAACAAGUGCUAGUUGAAUAAGCUGGCACCUUGACGGUACCUAACCAGAAAGCCACGGCUAACUACGUGCCAGCAGCCGCGGUAAU